CCUACGGGAGGCAGCAGUAGGGAAUAUUGCGCAAUGGGGGAAAGCCUGAAGCAGCAACGCCGCGUGGGGGAUGAAGGUCUUCGGAUUGUAAACCCCUUUUGGCAGAGAAGAAAAUUCCGUUAUCUAACCACCAAUGAAUGGCCAAUACCGUCCAAGCAGGCGCGGUAACACGGAGGGUGCGAGCGUUAAUCGGAAUGACUGGGCGUAAAGGGCUCGUAGGCGGGAUAGCAAGUCAGGUGUGAAAUCCGUGGGUCUAACCACGGAACUGCCUUUGAAACUGGCAAUCUGGAGUGUGGGAGAGGUAAGUGGAAUUCGUGGUGUAGGAGUGAAAUCCGUAGAGAUCGGGAGGAAUA
rnacentral:rRNA from 1 species